rnacentral:rRNA from 1 species
GAUGAACGCUGGCGGCGUGCCUAACACAUGCAAGUCGAGCGGUAACAGGAGUAGUUUACUACUUGCUGACGAGCGGCGAACGGCUGAGUAACGCGUGGGAAUGUACCCCAAAGUGAGGAAUAACUGCCCGAAAGGGUAGCUAAUGCCGCAUAUGAUCUUCGGAUUAAAGUAUUUAUACGCUUUGGGAACAGCCCGCGUCCGAUUAGGUAGUUGGUGAGGUAAAGGCUCACCAAGCCGACGAUCGGUAGCUGGUCUGAGAGGAUGAUCAGCCAGACUGGAACUGAGACACGGUCCAGACUCCUACGGGAGGCAGCAGUGAGGAAUCUUCCACAAUGGGCGAAAGCCUGAUGGAGCAACGCCGCGUGCAGGAUGAAGGCCUUCGGGUUGUAAACUGCUUUUAUGAGUGAAGAAUAUGACGGUAACUCAUGAAUAAGGGUCGGCUAACUACGUGCCAGCAGCCGCGGUA